UACGUAGGGUGCGAGCGUUGUCCGGAAUUAUUGGGCGUAAAGAGCUUGUAGGCGGUUUGUCGCGUCUGCUGUGAAAAUCCGGGGCUCAACCCCGGACUUGCAGUGGGUACGGGCAGACUAGAGUGUGGUAGGGGAGACUGGAAUUCCUGGUGUAGCGGUGAAAUGCGCAGAUAUCAGGAGGAACACCGGUGGCGAAGGCGGGUCUCUGGGCCGAAAUUUGACGCUGAGGAGCGAAAGCGUGGGGAGCAAACAGG
rnacentral:rRNA from 1 species